rnacentral:rRNA from 1 species
UAAGGAAUUUUCGGCAAUGGGGGGCGAACCCUGACCGAGCAACGCCGCGUGAGUGAUGAAGGUCUUCGGAUCGUAAAACUCUGUUGUAAAGGAAGAAUGUCAUAUAUAGGAAAUGAUAUAUGAGUGACGGUACUUUACUAGAAAGUCACGGCUUACUACGUGCCAGCAGCCGCGGUAAUACGUAGGUGGCAAGCGUUAUCCGGAUUUAUUGGGCGUAAAGGGUGCGCAGGCGGUCUGUUAAGUUUGGUGUGAAAGCGUGGGGCUCAACCCCAUACAGCAUCGAAUACUGGCAGACUAGAGUGCAGAAGAGGGUAAUGGAACUCCAUGUGUAGCGGUAAAAUGCGUAGAUAUAUGGAAGAACACCAGCGGCGA